CCUACGGGCGGCUGCAGUGGGGAAUAUUGGACAAUGGGGGGAACCCUGAUCCAGCCAUGCCGCGUGUGUGAAGAAGGCCCUCGGGUUGUAAAGUACGUUCAGUGAGGAAGAACGCCUGGUGGUUAAUACCCAUCAGGAAAGACAUCACUCACAGAAGAAGCACCGGCUAACUCCGUGCCAGCAGCCGCGGUAAUACGGAGGGUGCGAGCGUUAAUCGGAAUUACUGGGCGUAAAGCGCGCGUAGGUGGCUUGAUAAGCCGGUUGUGAAAGCCCCGGGCUCAACCUGGGAACGGCAUCCGGAACUGUCAAGCUAGAGUGCAGGAGAGGAAGGUAGAAUUCCCGGUGUAGCGGUGAAAUGCGUAGAGAUCGGGAGGAAUACCAGUGGCGAAGGCGGCCUUCUGGACUGACACUGACACUGAGGUGCGAAAGCGUGGGUAGCAAACAGGAUUAGAUACCCUUGUAGUC
rnacentral:rRNA from 1 species